CCCCUCCCCACUGCAAUGAGCUCCUGCCCGUGGGACCCACAAGGAGAAGCCACCCUGAGGUGCCACCGAGGGGCAGUGGCUUGGGGACCUCACACAGAACCUCCACUGGCAUGGCAGUGACCUGAAUUACCUUGAAAUCAAAUGAAAGGUCAGUGGAAUGAGGAUGUGAAUCACAGAACCACACAAAGGUUUGGGUUGGAAAGAUCUUUAACGCCCAUCCAGUUCCACCUCUCCCUGCAAUGGGCAGGGACAAUUUCUACUAGACUUGGCUCCUUCCAGCCCCCUCCAACCUGGCCUUGGACACUUCCAGGAAAGGGCAACCACAGCUCCUGUGGGCACCCUGUGCCAGGCCCUCACCACCCUCACUGUAAAAACCUUAUUUAUAUCCUACCUAAAUCUCCCCUGUUUCAGUUUAAAGCCACCACCCUUCAUCCUAUCACAACAGGCCCUGCUGAAAGGCUCAUCUCUGUGCCAUGAGUGUUAGAGGAUGUUUUCUGGGAUGUGUUUGUUCUCUAACAUCUGCACACAGCUGUUUGCAAAGCCCUGGUGGGGAGCUCUGCAUUCCAGUCAACCAUGAACAUCUCCAGCCAAACACGAACACGCUCAGGCUGCCGGAGCCUUCCUGUGCAAGGUCUCAUUGUCAUCGUGAGAAACAAGUCCUGCAAGAUGCUGAGUGUGUGCCAAGGCCCCUCAAAGAAUCGUGGAACAGGUUGGAAGGGAUCUCAAAGCUCAUCUCAUUCCACCCCUGCCUUGGGCAAGGACAGGGCAGGGAUACUUUCCACUGGAUCAGGUGUGGAAACAGUGUCAGCUUGGACACUCCAGGCCCUGUCCAAGCUGACCCUGAACAGUCACAGGGAUCCAGGGGCAGCCACAGCUUCGUCCUUCUCUUCCUGAAGGAAGACACUGAAGCAGUUUAUGUUGAAGCAGGCAUUAACUGGGGAAUGAAGAUCCACUCUGACCCAUGCCCAGGGAGGGUGAUGAGCACGACAAACCUGUCCUGACCCGGAGAGACAUCUCUGAGGGUGCCAGGAACCAGCCAGGAUUGGAGUCCUGCAGUCUGCACGGUCCUGGAGGACACAGCCACGGCUGCU
rnacentral:lncRNA from 1 species